AUGACAAUAUCAGGCUGAAUCUCAUCCAUGAACGACUGACUGUAUCCCUCCUUCACCAGGUCUAUUAGCUGACACUUCUUACAGGAAUGGAAGGAAGUAACAAAAAACUUAGUGGCCGUU